GCCCGCCUAGCUCAAUCGGAUAGAGCGUCAGACUCUUACCUAGGCGGUUAAUCUGAAGGCUGCGAGUUCGACCCUCGCGGUGGGCU
rnacentral:tRNA from 1 species